GACAGAGGAGCCAAGCGUUGUCCGGACUGACUGGGCGUAAAGCGCACGCAGGCGGCGCUGCGCGUGGGGUGUGAAAGCUCUUGGCUUAACUGAGAGAGGCCAUCCCAUACGGCAGUGCUCGAGCGGUGCAGAGGUCCGCGGAAUUGCCGGUGUAGUGGUGAAAUGCGUAGAGAUCGGCAGGAACACCCAGGGGGAAACCAGCGGACUGGGCAUCGGCUGACGCUCAGGUGCGACAGCGUGGGGAGCGAGCCGG
rnacentral:rRNA from 1 species